CCAGGUUUCCAUUAUCCUUCAGUGCUUCUUGGAGCUGGUGUCGGUGUGUCAGCAAUGAUGAUCCUGUGCAUCAUGAAGCUCUGCUAUGAACGAAUAAGGAAGGAAAAACCUUGAAACCAGAAAAGACAACACAUCUGGACUCACUCUGAUUCAAACAACCAUUGCUCUGGAUAAUGCCGGUCAGUUUGUUGACGGCAAUAACGGCAUGCUGUCAUCCACCACACUGAGUGGAAAAGAAUCUCUUCAUUAUCCCUCCACUGACUUCACAAACACUGAACCGCCGUCAGGAGAGAUCAGGGACAUGGCCUUGUGGAUAGGAUAGUAGUUCAUUCAAAAUUGAAAAUUUGCUGUUAAUUUACUCACCCUCAGGCCAUUCAAGAUGUAGGUGACUUUUUUUCUUCAGUAGUACAGUAAAACAGAUUUUUAUCUGGAAUCAUGGUCCUUGGUAAUUCAUAAAAUGCAAGUCAAUGGCUACCGUCACUUUGAGAGUCAAAAAUAUCUGUGAGUCCUGGUGAUAUAUUGAAGUCUUUUCAAGUGAAACGAUCAGUGUGUGCAAGAAACUGAACAUUAUGUACAACAUUAAUACCUAUAAUACAGUCCUGCUUAAUUUAUUAUUAUUACGUAUUUAUUAUACACCAAUUUCUUUUAUUUCCUAUUCAAAUAUAUGAAUUACUAUUCCUACUUUUAUUUUUCAUUAAAUCUUUAAUUAUCAAGUGUGUUUUAAGAUGUACUUUAGCUUGAAUAAAAUGUCUCUGCAAAAG